UUCUUCUCUUCGCCAGCGUUUUUUCUCCACCACAAUGCCUCUUCUCCUUCCUGGCUUCUCCACUGAAGCUCCUCGCCCUCUUUAUCUUCUCCGAUCCCUAUUAAAUCACGUCAGUGCAAAGGAUUCAAUGCACCUUUGCCUCCUCCUCUACCGGUCUACCCUCCCCAUCUUCACGCCCAAAUCAUUGCGCACCGCUUCACCUAUGUCACUCGAUUCAUCUUCUUCUCCUCAACUGCAGGGCUCUGCAGACUGUAGCCCUGUCCCCCCCGCACUACCAUCACCUCCACCUAAUGGACCAGCGCAUCGCAUAUACCAGUAGCAGCAGCCAGGGGAAGCAUUGGCCUGAUCACAUUCGCCGGACUUACUAUCCUUCAUCGGCUAUGGACAUGGGCCGAGCAGGGGUUCCGAUCCAUUGCCGCCCACCAGAUCGUCAAGGAGCUCAAGUGAAUCAGGCUAUGCUCACGCCGUUUGCUCUCCUCCAGGCCCUCCUCGCGUAGACAGCAUCGGAUACACAGGAUGCAGCCAUCCCUGCCGUGACCCCGAUCUGUACAAGAAUUUCGGGUUCCCGUGGGAUGAGCUUGGGAAGAAGAAGCUCACCGGGACAAUGGUCUACCACGAGUGUCGCAUGUUUCUCUGUUGCAAGGGCCCUGACAAGCGCCCAGUCCGACCGGCUCCUCGCUGCCUCCAUCAACGCCCGUAAGCCCAUCCUGAAGAAAGCAUGAGCAUCUCUUCUCCUUCUCCCUCUCCCUCAAUUUCCUUUUUGAUUCGCUUGAUUUGGUUUUCUGAUGUGGUAGAUGUAUGCUUCUGCUAUGGUAGUGUUAUUUGGUUGUGUCUAGAAUGUUUAAAUUUCACAUGAUUAGGAUAUUGUAUGUUUCAUUACAUCUACAUAUGGAUGAACUGAGCUCUGCAUCGGAGCCUUACCUUCUGACAGUACAUCAUCUUGCUCUAGCACAUCGGCUUAAUAUACUGAUGCCACAGGUGGCGACCACGGGUUCCGAUUGAGGCGUUAGCCAAGGACUAGGGAUUGCCAGUUCCUAAGUUUGGUAAAGUAAGUUUUGUUCAAUUUAGUUUUUCAUGCUCGACCUUUUGGGCCCAAGUCGUAGGCAGCAAUAUCCAACAAAGAUAGUCACCUUUUAUACCAUGUUCACAAGGAAUUGUUGUCAAAAAAAUGUUCACAUGGAAUUGGUGCCCCCAAAAUUCAGAAAGUUUUUGCAGGUUUCCUGUGGGCUGCUUACAGAUUAAAUUCAGAGCAAGUAACCACACGAUUUUCCAUCGGCAACUGCACACCAUUAUGUUUCAGGAGGAUAUUUAAUCUGCUUCUUUCACAUUCAGUGUUCUACACAAGUGCUGGUGCAAUGAGGUUCAACCGUGUGUUUUGCCACCCGAUGUUUUGAUGGCACUGGCAUGUACACUAAAUGUGCAGCUCACAUCUAAUAAUUAGUAUUUCAUUGUUGAUAGCACUGAAUAGAAUAUUGUGGAUAUUACAUCUAUGUAUCUUAUCACUUGCUCUUUUUUUUGCCAGCCUGUAUCAGGCUGCUUAUUGCCAUUUCAAUAUACUUUGCGGCUUUAGAUUUUUUUUAUUAUGCUAUAAGAAGCUUCAGUUGGAUGUUUUUGAGCUAGGAGUUCUUGCAGCUGCUAUUUUACUGUUCACCUUAACAUAGCUAAAGAAUAAUAUGGAAAGAACUCCCCCGUCAGUUGAUCUCAGCUUAGGUACAGUUGAUCUUUUUCUUUCUCAAUGCUAUUUUACUUCAUGCUUCACAUUUUGUUCCAUGCUUCACUUAGGUAAAUGAAUAAUGUCGUGAGUGAUCUUUGUUCGGAUGAUUGAACUAAGGAAUAGUAUAGAGAUGGAACCUUUUAUCAGUUCUAUGUAGAAGGACAUUACAAGAUGUAGGCAAGGAGUCAUCUCUGAUGGUCGACAUGCUAUUGCUAAAGGGUUCGCUUCAUCACUGGGCUUCCAUUUGUCAUGAUUAUUCCCUUCCUCUUCCCUCUUCCUUUAUAUCAGAACUUGGUGUGAGUAAUCGUUUAUUCAUGUGGGCUUCAGCCUUCAAGUGUGAUUUGGGUCAAGAUCGACAUAAAGAUGCGUUCCUAUUUAGGUAGUUCAGAUCACGAGACUCACUUGAAUGAAGUAGAAUACAUUCCAAACUAUCUCCUGGUGAUUCCAAUAGCCACAUAUGAUUCCAUGCUUUCGUUUCA